AAUGAGCGCUGGCGGCAUGCCUUACACAUGCAAGUCGAACGGCAGCAUGACCUAGCUUGCUAGGUUGAUGGCGAGUGGCGAACGGGUGAGUAAUGCAUCGGAACGUGCCUUUUAGUGGGGGAUAACGUAGCGAAAGUUACGCUAAUACCGCAUAUUCUCUGAGGAGGAAAGCAGGGGACCUUCGGGCCUUGCGCUAGAAGAGCGGCCGAUGUCGGAUUAGCUAGUUGGUGAGGUAAAGGCUCACCAAGGCAACGAUCCGUAGCGGGUCUGAGAGGAUGAUCCGCCACACUGGGACUGAGACAAGGCCCAGACUCCUACGGGAGGCAGCAGUGGGGAAUUUUGGACAAUGGGCGCAAGCCUGAUCCAGCCAUGCCGCGUGAGUGAAGAAGGCCUUCGGGUUGUAAAGCUCUUUCGGCUGGGAAGAAAUCGCACCCUCUAAUACAGGGUGUGGAUGACGGUACCAGCAUAAGAAGCACCGGCUAACUACGUG
rnacentral:rRNA from 1 species